GUUAAUGUUAGUGUAUGUAUGUUAGUGUUAGUGUGUGUGUGUGUCUGUUAGUGUGGAUGUCUGUUAGUGUGUGUGUUUGCCUGUGAGUAUGUGUGUCUGUUAGUGAGUGUGUGAGUGUGUGUCUGUUAGUGUUAGUGUGUAUGUUAAUGUUAGUGUAUGUAUGUUAGUGUUAGUGUGUGUGUGUGUCUGUUAGUGUGGAUGUCUGUUAG